GAAAAGUUAUCAUGCUCGAUAGCCUUCAUAUACAUUUUCUUUUGUUGACGUAGUCAUAAAUAUAACUAUUAGUUAGGACUUGCAGAUUCAAGAUAAUAACAUCAAGUUACUUUUCUUGAUAUUCGAAUAAUCAACUUAUGAGAAGGUCUUUUACCAAUUUCACCAAGAAUCGUUCAACUCAUUUGAAAAAUAUAUCUGGACUUCGGGUAAAUGGAAAUUAGAGAACUAAGACCAACUCCAUCAAUAGGUUCUUAUAGGAUUCUAAACCCAAAAGCCGGAAAAAAAAAUCAAAAAAGCUCAAAAUUAGGAGAACCGGUGCCAAAUUCGGGCUUUUUAGAACUGGUAAGAGGCGCCUACGUGGCACUCCCUCAUUGCACCGCUUCUGUUUUGUCUCUCUCUCCUUUGGUCGGGGAUUCGAUGAAACCAAAGAAAAUCUCGUCUCUUGGAGUCUCCGUCUCGCUCUGAGGGAUCUUCUGUCGCACCGCUCCGUUUCGCAAACUCCCGCGACUCCGUCGGCCCAUCUUCUCCGUCGUCUCUCUGGCUCUCGUCCCCACUCGGUCCUAGUCGUCUGUCUCACCACGUCCUCUCUCUCGGUCCUAGUCGUCUGUCUCACCGCGUCCUCUCACUCGCUCCUAGUCGUCGGCCAAUCUUCUCCGUCGUCUCUCUCGAUGACUCCGUCGUCUGUCACUCCGUUUUCUCCCUGAAGCCGUGGUCUCUGUCGAUGACUCCAUCGUCUAUCUCACCCCCUCUUCUCGGUCGGUUCAUCUUCUCUGUCAGACCGUCGUCUCUCUCGCUCGGUCUUCUCUCUCGAUCCCGAGUGUAAGUGCCUCUCUUCUUCUCUCUCGAUCUCUCGCUCCGUCGUCUCUCUCGCUCGUUUUUUUUUGAAAUUGUUGUGAUCUCAUCGUUUUGUCGAGAAAGGUGGAAUCUUUUUGAGAUGUGUUUUACAAUCUUAGAUCAGGUUUAUGUUUUAGAAUCUUGUUUGUGUUCGAUCCUUGUUUAUGUUCUUGAGAUAGAUGAAUGUGAUCUGAUUGUCUCCUGCCUCGUAAUUGGAAUAGCUUUACCUCUAAUUGGAAUGUGGUUACAUCGGAUCAUUCAUAUGGAAUAGUUUACAUUGGUUCAAACAUGAUUCAUGAAUCAUGAUUCAUAGAUGUUGCUCUGUUCUUAGUACUCGAUGCUUAGAUUUUACUCGAUUAUACUCAUACGUUUUGCUCUGUUCUGUCUUUGGUGGUUGUGUAAGGAUCGGUUUUGUGUGGAAGAGGCAAUGGAGUGUUUCAUUCAUUCCGGAACCCACGCGAGUCUCUCAGAAGGAUCCAACCUCAUCAAAGCCCGAGGUGGAAGACUCGUGACAGAAGAAGACAAUGUGUUUAAUGUAAUGAAAGUUGUGGUGUUUUGUAUCACGUGAACCCACAACUUGUUGAAGGAAUGUUUCACGUUUGUUUUAAAUUGUACCAAUCCGAACCUUGUUGUACCAAACUUGUCUUUUAUAAACGUUAGCUCCAAGUA